AGAAGCUGGGACAAAUAACGGGAGCUCACCCUGUUACGCGGAACUAGGGAUUCGAACCGCUGAACUGCCGACCUUUCACCGUGUCCCAUAGCCUGCACAAACAUAUCAAGGCUUUGCAGAGCAAUAUAGCUUCAGUUGGCAUCCUGUCUUCUACAGCCCUCUGCUGACUGUGCAUGCAAUUCUUGGUUCAUCUUUGUGCCUCAGUUACUACCGCUGGAUCAGCAACUUAAAAACACGACAGAGCUAUGUCAGCCCCUGAUGAUGGUUGAGUCAGAACCCAGCAGAGUUCAUAAAGCUGAAUCUCCUGUUUCCAGUAGCUGAACUGCAUCAGAAUGUGUGAUGUUCCCUGCUGGCUCAGACCAAAGGCCAGUCUGGCAGAAUUUCCUGCUGGCUCAAAACUGCGUCUCGCAUUUUUUUUUUUAAAAAAAGGUUCAUAUCUGUACUGUGAAGGCUCAGAGACU